AGCGAACGCUGGCGGCAGGCCUAAUACAUGCAAGUCGAACGAAGCCUUCGGGCUUAGUGGCGGACGGGUGAGUAACACGUGGGAACGUACCCUUUGGUUCGGAACAACUCAGGGAAACUUGAGCUAAUACCGAAUGUGCCCCCAUCCUUAACAAGAUGGGUGGGAAAGAUUUAUCGCCAUUGGAGCGGCCCGCGUCUGAUUAGCUAGUUGGUGAGGUAAAGGCCCACCAAGGCUACGAUCAGUAGCUGGUCUGAGAGGAUGAUCAGCCACACUGGGACUGAGACACGGCCCAGACUCC
rnacentral:rRNA from 1 species